UGCUUAUCUAACUUGCCAAUUAGUGGGGGAUAACUAUGGGAAACCAUGGCUAAUACCGCAUUUGUUGCUUUGGCAAUGAAAGGAGGUCGCAAGACUUUCGCUAAUUGAUAGGGAUAAGUCGCAUCAGUUAGUUGGUGGGGUAAUGGCCUACCAAGACUAUGACGCGUAGCCAGGCUGAGAGGCUGAUUGGCCACAAGGAACUGAGACACGGUCCUACUCCCAAGGGAGGCAGCAGUGAGGAAUUUUCCGCAAUGGGGGCAACCCUGACGGAGCAAUACUACGUGAAGGAGGAAGGUCUACGGAUUGUAAACUUCUGUUAGUGCAGAAGAAGGGCUGAAUGCAAGUUCAGUUUUGACAGUAUGCACAGAGAAAGCCACGACUAACUACGUGCCAGCAGUCGCGGUAAGACGUAGGUGGCGAACGUUAUCCGGAAUUAUUGGGCGUAAAGGGUGCGUAGACGGCAUGAUAAGUUAUUGGCGGGAAAUCGAGGCUCAACCUCGUGGAAACUGAUAAUACUGUUUUGCUUGAGUACAGGAGAGGUUAACGGAACUCCAUGUGGAGCGGUAAAAUGUGUAGAUAUAUGGAAGAACAUCAAUAACGGCGAAGGCAGUUAACUAUUCUGUUACUGACGUUGAGGCACGAAAGCGUGGGGAGCAAAACGGAUUAGAUACCCGUGUAGUCCACGCCCUAAACGAUGAGUGCUAGAUAUUGGGAACUUGAUUCUCAGUGUCGCUAGUUAACACGGUAAGCACUCCGCCUGGGUAGUACGCUCGCAAGAGUGAAACUCAAAGGAAUUGACGGGGACUCGCACAAGCAGUGGAGCAUGUGGUUUAAUCCGAUACGACGCGUAGAACCUUACCAAGGCUUGACAUGUUGGGCAAAGCUAGGGAAACCUAGUGGAGGUUAUCCUAACACAGGUGCUGCAUGGCCGUCGUCAGUUCGUGCCGUGAGGUGUAUGGUUAAGUCCUAUAACGAACGUAACCCUUGGACUUAGUUGCCAGCAUUUAGUUGGGGACUCUAAGUCGACUGCCUGAGCAAUCAGGAGGAAGGAAAGGAUGACGUCUGGUCAUC
rnacentral:rRNA from 1 species